CCGGGAACAGAGUGUGAGGCGGGAGAAUUGAACGUUCCAGAAACAAUUCAUUACCGUUUUGACUUGAAUGAUGUCUGAGUUACAAAAAGAGAUUAAGCAAACCUUACUGUGAGUAAUACCAGGCCUUCCUGACGAGCCACUCAAUCAGUCAGUUGAGAAAUGUGUAGGCUGAGGAGUAGAAGAUUUAAUGUACGUGAAAGAAGAGGACAUCUUAAGAGUUCAUACAACCUGUUCAGUGCCAAACUGUUCACAUGAACAAAGAAACAGCAUUUUGGUUCAGUAAUUAGUUUGACCUAUAGGUCUCCUCAAAAUUCACCACAAAUGAGCUCCUCGGGCUCCUCAGUAAGAAAAUGGAUGGACUCACGCUUCAAGCAGAUGAACACUCAACUUGCCUGACAGUCCUUGCAUUAUAAUUCUUGGUCAAACUCUAAGCAAUCAGCAGUGGAUGAUGAUAUAUUGACAUCAACCCUGAACAAAUGUCCAAGGCCAAUCAAGGAAAAGCUACAUCCAAGAAGACUAGCCAAGUAGUCCAUAACAAGAAGAACGCAGUAAACCCUCAUUUUUCCUAUCCACUUUGUAAGAUAAUGGACUUUGAACGGAAUUCAUUCAAGACCACUUUGUUCACUUUUAAUUUUGACAGUUUAGGCAAUUUUUGUCUAACAUGGUGUUCUUAUUCUAUUUUAAUGUGAAAGUCAACAUUGGUGUUAUACUUUUAAAUUUAGUAUUGAAUGCUGCACUAUGUUUAUUGCCAGUGUUUCCCACCACUGUUGCAACCAUUUGUGUUUAUCUGAAAUAAUGAAA